UCACACUAUCAUUAACUGAAUCCAUAGGUUAAUGAGGCGAACCGGGGGAACUGAAACAUCUAAGUACCCCGAGGAAAAGAAAUCAACCGAGAUUCCCCCAGUAGCGGCGAGCGAACGGGGAGGAGCCCAGAGCCUGAAUCAGCAUGUGUGUUAGUGGAAGCGUCUGGAAAGGCGCGCGAUACAGGGUGACAGCCCCGUACACAAAAGCGCAUGUGCUGUGAGCUCGAUGAGUAGGGCGGGACACGUGGUAUCCUGUCUGAAUAUGGGGGGACCAUCCUCCAAGGCUAAAUACUCCUGACUGACCGAUAGUGAACCAGUACCGUGAGGGAAAGGCGAAAAGAACCCCGGCGAGGGGAGUGAAAAAGAACCUGAAACCGUGUACGUACAAGCAGUGGGAGCACCCUUCGGGGUGUGACUGCGUACCUUUUGUAUAAUGGGUCAGCGACUUAUAUUCUGUAGCAAGGUUAACCG
rnacentral:rRNA from 1 species